AAUUGCCCAAAUUAGCGGCGCGUCACGCCGGUUUGUCCCACCGAACGUGGUGAUUAGAGGCGAGAUGGGAUUGAAACUGAGGGCAAUUUUCCUCUCUGCGGAGAGGGGUCGGUGAUCCCCAGUGCAUUCAUCUCUGAAGCUUCAAGAUGACAUGCCUGCAUGCCACACGCCCAACACAUCUGCCGCUCCGUUCCCGGUGACUCAUCCUGCUCUCCGAGUUAGCAGAGCCGUCUCUGGCAGAUUCACGACGCCCCGAGCCUCUGUUAUCCCGUGGCCUGAGAGCCACAUGAGUUCCCAGCGAGCUGGCAAAUUAAUAUUUACCGUGGCAGCCGCCGCUAAGCCGAAGAGAGCCGCGAGGAGCCGUCAGGACAGACGACCUUGAGGCGAUCGCGGGCCCGAGACCGGCGGGAAGCACGGACACGUACCCAGGUCACGGGGAUUCAUAUUGGCUGGCGGAAUGGGACGGCGACGUGGAUCCCUCCACGAGCGAGCGCAGAGCACCUGCUCGCAUGCGAUUGACCCUUCGCGAAACCUACCCGCGCCGCAGAACGUCAGCCGUCAGGCCGAGUGGAUUAUCUUAGCAGAGUGGCUGAGAAGCCAGAACACAGUGUGUAGGUUGAAAGGCCAGUUGAAAGGCCAGAACACAGAACACAGUGUGUAGGUUGAGAACACGUUCCUGUCGCUGGACGGAGGUCAUCGUCAGUACCAGGGAAGGUCUGGUGGCAGCCACUUCUCCAGCUAUAUAAAUUGAUGCUAUUGCCGUGGACGAUCUCGCACGCGGCAGCUUGUGUUCUUACUACAUUUGGCUGUGGAUGCGGAUGGUCGCAUGCGUACGGCAGUGAUAUUCCAGCAGACCAGGAGGAGGACGAUGUACUGCAACAAACACAAAUACAAGCAGUUGACCUGUGAUCUGUGAAAGUCCAUGCUGCCCCCUGCUGGAAAUACCUGAUCAAUUAUCUGGCACAUGCGCGGUCGAUGUGCACACGGACGUGCGAGGUAUCCGCUAGACAUAAAAAUCUGGGCCAAACCAGAAUGACAACAUUUACGAAAGGUCCCGCCAUCCGGAACCGAACACACAUGUGGAAAAGUGAAGUAUGAAUCGGUCUUACUGUGACAUCAUGUGCAUACCCACUAUGGGUGUUGUGAGUGAAUUUGCAUAUAAAGAGUAAAUGAGCCUGCUAAUAUUAAUUCCAUCCCAUCCCUGGCCAGUCAUUCUUUAUCACCAUUAUUGUUGCCAGCUGAGGUCUUCAGGUCUUUCCCUGACCUGAAAAAAAAAAUUAACGAUGAUACUUUAUUGAUCCCCGUGGGGAAAUUCUCUUUUCACCAAUCAUAAUUUGCUAAUGAUAUCUGUAUUCAAUUCAUUAAUCAAGAACGUUGGAGUGUCUUUAGUACCUAUCCUUACAGUUAUGGUAUUUGUUCCUGUUGGAUUAGCACAGGGUUUGGUUUAGUGCCUUGUUGCUCCCACAGAGAUGCCAGAUUCAACAUUCAAAACUUUAUUGUCAUGUAUACAAGUACAGGUACAAGUACAAUGAAAUUCUUACUUGCGCUCCUCCCUGCAGAGUUAGGCAGCAUGUAACAGUUAACUAUAUUUACAAUAAGUACAACACAAUAAAUACAAUACACAAAUAGAGUGACUACCUAAUUCAGCUACAACAGCUAAAACAGGGUAUGUAAACUACCAUUUCAACCAUUUCAAUUAAAAGGACCCAGAUUUCACUUAAGCACUGAGUACUUGCUACGUUCACUGAUUGGCCAGUCU